UACGUAGGGGGCUAGCGUUGUCCGGAAUCAUUGGGCGUAAAGCGCGCGUAGGCGGCCCGGUAAGUCCGCUGUGAAAGUCAAAGGCUCAACCUUUGAAUGUCAGCGGAUACUGCCGGGCUAGAGUCCGGAAGAGGCGAGUGGAAUUCCUGGUGUAGCGGUGGAAUGCGCAGAUAUCAGGAAGAACACCCGUGGCGAAGGCGGCUUUCUGGGACGGUACUGACGCUGAGACGCGAAAGCGUGGGGAGCGAACAGG
rnacentral:rRNA from 1 species